UAUGAGAAAAUCAUCAAGACCAGUUUAAGGGACUGUGUUCACCAUUCCCCUGCAAUACAAUAAAACACCCUCCUGCUUCUUUCCAUAUGCCAUUUAGUGUUCAAAAUAGAUCAACUGACUUUCCUUUACAAACUAAAUCAGACUGUAAGCUUUGUAUUUCUCUUUCAUUCAUCGUGUGCUUUUGAGGCCUCCUCAUGUUCUUGUUAAUAAUUCAGCCUUGGCCUAUUCCAGGUUUAUUGCUCAGAGAGACAGUACCUUUUGCUGAGUUGAGCAUAUGGCUAACAGGAGCUAUGUCAGAUGAGAACACAGAAAGUUCUGAAGCAAACUGGAUUAGGUCCAUUUUCUCCUAA
rnacentral:lncRNA from 1 species